rnacentral:rRNA from 1 species
UACGUAGGGGGCAAGCGUUGUCCGGAAUCAUUGGGCGUAAAGAGCGCGUAGGCGGUCCGGUAAGUCCGCUGUGAAAGUCAGGGGCUCAACCCUUGAAUGCCGGUGGAAACUGUCGGGCUAGAGUCCGGAAGAGGCGAGUGGAAUUCCUGGUGUAGCGGUGAAAUGCGCAGAUAUCAGGAGGAACACCAAUGGCGAAGGCAGCUCGCUGGGACGGUACUGACGCUGAGGCGCGAAAGCGUGGGGAGCAAACAGG